CAAAUUUUAUGUAAAGCAUCCUUUUGUGAAGAGCCCGCUUUGGCCACGUCUGGUUGCUGCGAAGCGCAUACUUGUCAGAUUACAGGGUGCCAGAACGCAACCGAGGUUCGUUGGGGAAAAUAUUGCCAAGAUCAUAUGUGCUCAAGAGAAGGCUGUAGCAAUCCUCGUGUAGAAGGGAGCGAUUUGUGUACCGCACACAAUGACCCGAAUCAAGUGUGCAUAGUUGAGGGAUGCACAAGACUGAAAAGGGAUGGCAUUGACUAUUGUAGUGUGCAUAAAACGGGUUUUCUUUGCGGCUAUCGCGACUGCACCAAUCCUACAGAAAAUUUUUCAACAUUUUGCUCAGAGCAUCAAAUGGCUGACAAAGAAUUGCACUCAGAACCACAAGACACUCCAAACGACAACGAGUUGUCCUGCUUGUCCGAUAUGCUUAUCAUUGAUGAAUCUGGCAAACAAAUUUGGAAAGUAUAUGCAAAAUCCAGCGAGUUUCAUUUUAAGGCAAGCUGUAGUGAAAGCGAGCCCGAAUAGGGCGAAUAGUUCGUCAUAUUAGACCCGAAGCCAAGUGAUCUAACCCUGUCCAGGCUGAAGUUCGCGUAACAGUGAAUGGAGGGCCGGAGUGUUAAACGUUGAAAAGUUUCUACAUGAGGUGGGGUUAGGGGUGAAAGGCCAAUCGAACUUGGUGAUAGCUGGUUCUCCCCGAAAUAGCUUUAGGGCUAGCGUUGUGAUUUAACCCGAGGGGGUAGAGCACUGGUUGAUUUAGGGGGAGCGACCCUCCUUCCGAUGUCAGUCAAACUCCGAAUACCUCGGCGGAUAUCACAGCAGUCAGUUCGUGAGGGAUAAGCUUCACGUGCGAGAGGGAAACAGCCCAGACCGUCAAUUUAGGUCCCAAAAUCUAUGCUAAGUGGUAAAGGAUGUGGAUUUACUUAAACAGCUAGGAGGUUGGCUUAGAAGCAGCCACCCUUUGAAGAGUGCGUAAUAGCUCACUAGUCGAGUGAAUCUGCGCCGAAGAUGACUCGGGGCUAAGCAUAGUACCGAAAUUACGGCUUGUACAGAGGUUCGCCUUUGUGCAGGGGUAGGGGAGCGUUAUUAGCAGCUGCGAAGGUAUACCGUAAGGAGUGCUGGAGCGCUAAUAAGUGAGAAUGCUGGAAUGAGUAGCGAUAAGGAAGGUGAGAAUCCUUCCCGCCGAAAAUCUAAGGUUUCCUUGAGCAACGUUCGUCGGCUCAGGGUCAGUCGGGCCUAAGCUCAGGCCGAAAGGCGUAGGCGAAGGACAUCAGGUUAAUAUUCCUGAACUGUAGUAAGCGCGUCAUAACCUAGGGAGGGACGCAGGAGAGUAGACCAUCUUGGUGAGGGAUUACCAAGUGAAAGGCCGUAGGCAUCUUCAGGUAGGCAAAUCCGCUUGAAGGCUAAGCCGAAAACCGAGACGAGUAUACAGCGAUGUAUGCGAAGUGGUCCAAUCACGCUGCCUAGAAAAACUUCGUAGGGAGUUCUUACUACAACCGUACCGUAAACCGACACAGGUGGAUGGGGUGAAAAUCCUAAGGCGCGCGAGAUAACCAUCGUCAAGGAACUAGGCAAACUAGCUCCGUAACUUCGGAAGAAGGAGUGCCCCGGUAGCUGUGUAGCAAUACAUGGUGAAAGGGUCGCAGUGAAUUGGGCUUCGUGACUGUUUAACAAAAACUUAGGGCUCUGCUGAAAUCUCAAGAUGAUGUAUAGGGCCUGAUGCCUGCCCGGUGCCGGAAGGUCAAGGGGAGUGGUUAGCCGCAAGGCGAAGCUGCGAACUUAAGCCCCGGUAAACGGCGGCGGUAACUAUAACCGUCCUAAGGUAGCGAAAUUCCUUGUCGGGUAAGUUCCGACCUGCACGAAUGGCAUAACAAAGAAGCCGCUGUCUCGACGGUGGGCUCGGCGAAAUUGUGGUUCAAGUGAAGACGCUUGAUACAUGCAGCAAGACGAAAAGACCCUAUGGAGCUUUACUGUAGCUUGUUAUUGGAUUACGGUUUACACUACGUAGUAUAGCUGGGAGCCUUUGAAAUAUCCCUUGCGGGGGGUAUGGAGGCAACAGUGAAAUACCAGCUUUUGUGGAUUGUGAUUCUAACCUAUACCCGUGAAUCCGGGUUGGGGACAGUGGCAGGUGGGCAGUUUGACUGGGGCGGUCGCCUCCUAAAGAGUAACGGAGGCGUUCUAAGGUUCCUUCAGGCCGUAUAGAAAUCGGCCAUUGAGCGCAAAGGUAGAAAGGAGCUUGACUGUGAGGACGACGGUCCGAACAGGUGCGAAAGCAGGACUUAGUGAUCCGGUGGUCCCUCGUGGGAGGGCCAUCGCUCAACGGACAAAAGCUACCCUGGGGAUAACAGGCUGAUCGGGCCCAAGAGUUCACAUCGACGGCUCGGUUUGGCACCUCGAUGUCGGCUCAUCACAUCCUCCCGCUGAAGCAGGUGGGAAGGGUUGGGCUGUUCGCCCAUUAAAGUGGUACGUGAGCUGGGUUCAGUACGUCGUGAGACAGUACGGUCUCUAUCUGCUGUAUGCACAGGAAACUUGAGAGGAGUUGUCCAUAGUACGAGAGGGCCUGGAUGAACGAACCUCCUGUAUAUCAGUUGUCUCGCCAGAGGCAUAGCUGAUUAGCGGUGUUCGGUAGGGAUAAACGCUGAAAGCAUAUAAGCGUGAAACCCGCCUCAAGAUAAGGUUUCCCUGGUAGAUUAACUACCCAGAAGACCCCCGGAAGACUACCGGGUUGAUAGGCAGAGUGUGUAAGCACAGUAAUGUGUUCAGCUAAUCUGUACUAAUAGGUCGUGAGGCUUGGCC
rnacentral:rRNA from 1 species